rnacentral:rRNA from 1 species
UACGGGGGGAGCAAGCGUUGUUCGGAUUUACUGGGCGUAAAGGGCGCGUAGGCGGCCUGCUAAGUCGGAUGUGAAAUCCCUCGGCUCAACCGGGGAACUGCAUCCGAUACUGGUGGGCUUGAAUCCGGGAGAGGGAUGUGGAAUUCCAGGUGUAGCGGUGAAAUGCGUAGAUAUCUGGAGGAACACCGGUGGCGAAGGCGGCAUCCUGGACCGGUAUUGACGCUGAGGUGCGAAAGCGUGGGGAGCAAACAGG